rnacentral:tRNA from 1 species
UAAUGAAGUGCCUGAUUUAAAGGGUCAUUUUGAUAGAGUGAAUUAUGUAAGUUUUACCUUCAUU